rnacentral:rRNA from 1 species
ACUGGGCGUAAAGGGUGCGUAGGUUGUUUGGUAUGUCAGGUGUGAAAUCCCGGGGCUUAACUCCGGAACUGCGCCUGAAACUACCAAACUUGAGUAUAGGAGGGGAUAGCAGAAUUUCUGGUGUAGCGGUGAAAUGCGUAGAUAUCAGAAGGAAUACCAAUGGCGAAGGCAGCUAUCUGGACUAAUACUGACACUGAGGCACGAAAGCGUGGGGAGCGAAAGGGAUUAGAUACCCCUGUAGUCCACGCUGUAAACGUUGCACACUAAGCUUCGGAACAUCGACCGUUUCGGGGCUCUAGCUAACGCGUUAAGUGUGCCGCCUGAGGACUACGGCCGCAAGGCUAAAACUCAAAGGAAUUGACGGGGGCCCGCACAAGCGGUGGAGCAUGUGGCUUAAUUCGAUGCAACGCGAAGAACCUUACCUGGUCUUGACAUAUAUUGGAAUCUUAGCUGAGAGGCUUUGAGCUCUUCGGAGCCGAUAUACAGGUGCUGCAUGGCU